UCUUAUUGAGGAGCAAAGAAAGUGGUUUCUUGAGGUAGAAUCUACUCCUGGUGAACACGCUGUGAA
rnacentral:pre_miRNA from 1 species